AAGACUCAGAGGAUUCAGCAAGAAAACACCCCAUCAAAAAGGGAAAAAAAAUGGACUCCAGAAAAAGAAAGCAGAGGCAAGAGGAGCCAGAUUCUGAUUCAGAAUCUGAAUCUGAACAAAGUGAUGAGAGCGAAGAAUCAUCACCUGCAGAGAAGGAGAAGGAGAAGAAAAAAACAAAAACAACAC